CCACAGUCACAAACCCAAGACAAACCUGUUUCUCAGGAGAAGCUACUCUAUUCCUGAAAUAUUCAGGAGUUGCAAGCCCUCUUCUUUUGUUCUGGUUCUCCUCAAAAGGCUCUACUGAUCCAUGAUUUUUAGGCAAGAUGUUAUAACUAUCAAAUACAGGAAUUUAGGAACUCUCUGAGGAAGGAAGAACUGCUGCUUGUAUUUUGACAUGGGGAGCUGAGACCUGCAGGAGAGGCUGACCUGACAAUUCUGAUAAAGACUCCAAUGCUCCUAGGAGCAACUGCUGCUGGCUGUGACUGACUCUGCAAUUCAGCUGGAACCUGGACAGCUGUAACAUCUGUGGGUUCCGCUGCUGCACUAUUAGACUCUCCCUCUUCAAGGCAGGGGGAGGGCUUCUCACCAGCUGGGGAAGUGUAUUCCUACAGCAUGUGGCACAUCUCCUUCACCAGAACCCCCACCCAAUCUGGGUAGUUCACAUCUGGGGUGGGCUAUGGGGUAGGGUCAGGCUCUUGGGCAGCAGCAUCCCUAGGCUCCGGUGGCAUGUUAGGUUCUGGGGUAGGUGUUGGGGUAGUUAUCCAGGUUAGUCUCCCCCUCUCCCUAAAUGCUAAAUAGAACAGGCCUAUCAGCAACACCAGCCACUGGAUGAUAUCACUAAUAUUUAGAGUGGAUCUGAACCCUUCAAAAACUGGUGGGGCAGACCCAAAGAGAUGGUUAAAGGGUUAGGAGAAGAUUUCCCCCGGUGUCAUUUCCUUACAGCAGGUGCCAUUAUUAAAGUAACCCCAAAAACAUACAGUCAUUGUGUGAUAGCUGUGAAUCCAUGUGCCUGCUUUCCAGAGUAAGUUAAAAAUCCAUUAAUUCCUCACCUUAUUCACCCAUAAGACAAACCGGAUAAUAGCCACAGUAGCCUUGGUCAUAGGACCCAUGUUUAGAUAAGGGUCUAUAAAUGGGAGAAAUACUGCCAUGAUCACGUGCCACCCAAACGAGGGCAAGCUGGACCACAUGGUGUUGCUUAAUGAAGUUUCUAUAGCCGCACACAAAAAAAUUAGAUUACUUAAGAACUGUUAUUCCCUUUUUUGUUUAUGUGCCCUCGAGCCUCGCUUUGGGUGCCAAAAUCUUUCUUUGUUUGGAAAGACAGGAGUCUGCUAAGGAAGGCAGGAGCCUCCCCUGAAAUGGAGAAUGCAAACCCUCCCCACUCCUCCGAAUUGCUAUAAAUUUUAAAUUUUAAAGGAAGGGGCUCUCAGGCACAAAAAGAUGGGAGCAGGAAAUAACAGUUCUUUAAUAGGGAAGAAAAACAAAAGGAUAAAAUAAAACAAUGCAGUACACUGCAACACUGACUGAGUCAGAACUCAACCUGACACCCUGUUGUCAGGGUGUUAGUAGCAGUCCAACUGGAAAUGUGGCUGCAGUCCUCCUGGAGUGUCAGGUGUGGUUCUGUUGGAGCUAGGAGGUCCUGUAGAAAAAGGGGAUAUUCUUCCUCUGAAGAUCCAGUGGAAGAAGAGGCAGCUGCUGUUUCUCUGGGAAAUCCAGUGGAGAAGCUGUGGAGGUAUUUCAGAACCUCCAGAUUAUAUCUGAGUAGCAAUGCUUGGCUCCUCCCUCUGGCAGAGCAUCUCACAAUGGGAUGUUCUAGUUCUUCUCAGUCAUGCAGUGACAUUCAAUAGCCUGUUAUCAGCAGAUGUCCCCUCCCGAGGGAGGAGUGAUUGUGAUCAUUCAGAGAGAGAGAGAUAAGGAGAAUUGCCCACUUGACAAAAGUCAACUGCCAUAGAGAUGGUAAUAGAAUACAUCUUGCCUUGCAAUCUGGAAGACUUGCACUAGUGGGUUUACUAGUGGGCAGCAAAAGCAUUCCCUCCACCUCGUUUAAGUUGCAUGGGAAUGACUGAUUCUGCUCAAUUCACCCACCUGCCAUCUCUGUCUGAGUUCUGUCCCAUAUCAUUUUUGCUUUUACCAUCAGAAAUACAUCUCCCCUUUGGCCAAGGCUUUUCUCAUCUUGGAGAAAGAGAUCUACAGUGUAUACACUUCAGGAAAUUAACAAAACCCCCUCAGUUUCUCAUAUCUGUCAAAGGAAUAACUUGCUCCAGUGCUCCAGACAGCACAGCGCUACAAUGCAGACAAUGGGAGAAGAGGGAUAUCAAGCCUUUUGUAUUACAAGAGGCACCUGAAGCAGAAGGAAACCAUAAAUACAAUGCCAAGAGGAGCAUUGCUGACUGUUGCUGUCACCUGCUGAAAAACCCUGUAUAUUGAAGACAGUGCUUCAGUGGAGGAGAAUAAGAAAUUAAAUGGAAAUGGGAAAUUAAAGUCAGUGGAGGCAUCAGGCCAACAGGCUGAAAUGCCUUUCUGGAGUUUUCCUGAGUGGUCCAAAUAAUAUUUUAUAAAAUGCAUGGCAAUGUGGGCUUUGUCAAUCUGAGUAUCUAGAAACUUGCACUAACUAAGGGUACAUAAACAUUCCAUCUUCAUUCCUUCAGAGACUUUUAAUUAAAACAGAAUAGCAGCAUCAU